rnacentral:rRNA from 1 species
UUGGCGAGAGACCGAUAGCAAACAAGUACCGCGAGGGAAAGAUGAAAAGGACUUUGAAAAGAGAGUCAAAGAGUGCUUGAAAUUGUCGGGAGGGAAGCGAAUGGGGGCCGGCGAUGCGCCCCGGUCGGAUGUGGAACGGCUAAUACCCGGUCCGCCAAUCGACUCGGGGUGUGGACCGGUGCGGAUUGGGACGGAGGCCAAAGCCCAGGCAGUCGUUAAGCCUGCGGAGACGCCUUCGCCUUGAUCGUGGCUGGCAGCGUGCGCCCUUGGCGUGCUUCGGCAUCUGCGCGCUCCCGG